rnacentral:rRNA from 1 species
GGGGACUCGGGUAGUGGCGCACGGGUGCGUAACGCGUGGGAACCUGCCUUUAGGUUCGGAAUAACUCAGAGAAAUUUGAGCUAAUACCGGAUAAUGUCUUCGGACCAAAGAUUUAUCGCCUUUAGAUGGGCCCGCGUUAGAUUAGAUAGUUGGUGGGGUAAUGGCCUACCAAGUCGACGAUCUAUAGCUGGUCUGAGAGGAUGAUCAGCCACACUGGGACUGAGACACGGCCCAGACUCCUACGGGAGGCAGCAGUGGGGAAUAUUGGACAAUGGGCGAAAGCCUGAUCCAGCAAUGCCGCGUGAGUGAUGAAGGCCUUAGGGUUGUAAAGCUCUUUUACCAGGGAUGAUAAUGACAGUACCUGGAGAAUAAGCUCCGGCUAACUCCGUGCCAGCAGCCGCGGUAAUACGGAGGGAGCUAGCGUUGUUCGGAAUUACUGGGCGUAAAGCGCGCGUAGGCGGCUUUUCAAGUCAGGGGUGAAAUCCCGGGGCUCAACCUCGGAACUGCCCUUGAAACUGGAUGGCUAGAAUACUGGAGAGGUGAGUGGAAUUCCGAGUGUAGAGGUGAAAUUCGUAGAUAUUCGGAAGAACACCAGUGGCGAAGGCGACUCACUGGACAGUUAUUGACGCUGAGGUGCGAAAGCGUGGGGA